CCUGAGAAACCCAAAAGAUCGAAUGGGGAGAUUCAUCGUCAGCGGUGCUGGUAUGCACGCGGUUCGCGAUGCCGGAGACUUCGGUCUCGUGGCACGCGUCCGCGUGUUUGUAUUGCCUGGCAUCGUCGGCGUGCACUUCUCCCCUAGUAGGACGUCGCGACCCGUUGGGUGUCGGUCUACGGCCCGGGUGGGCGCCUGUCUCGUGUGACACCUCACGGUGCCACUGCGAAACAGACCCCCGGUUGCCCGACCGGCUGCCCGGCGGUACUCGCAAGGUAUCCGGCCGCAAAUAUUCGAACUGCGUCCGGCCCGUCGCAAGCGAGGCAAGUGUUUCCCGAAUGUACGGAUCUGAUGCCGUCAUCGGGCCUAGCCAGCUGUUGGCUGACGGUGUCCUAGGACUGGCUGUAACAAUUAUGAUACCGGUCAGCGACGCUACUGCUUUGGGUACUUUC
rnacentral:rRNA from 1 species